AGAGUUUGAUCAUGGCUCAGAUUGAACGCUGGCGGCAGGCCUAACACAUGCAAGUCGAACGGUAACAGAAAGCAGCUUGCUGCUUUGCUGACGAGUGGCGGACGGGUGAGUAAUGUCUGGGAAACUGCCUGAUGGAGGGGGAUAACUACUGGAAACGGUAGCUAAUACCGCAUAACGUCGCAAGACCAAAGAGGGGGACCUUAGGGCCUCUUGCCAUCGGAUGUGCCCAGAUGGGAUUAGCUAGUAGGUGGGGUAACGGCUCACCUAGGCGACGAUCCCUAGCUGGUCUGAGAGGAUGACCAGCCACACUGGAACUGAGACACGGUCCAGACUCCUACGGGAGGCAGCAGUGGGGAAUAUUGCACAAUGGGCGCAAGCCUGAUGCAGCCAUGCCGCGUGUAUGAAGAAGGCCUUCGGGUUGUAAAGUACUUUCAGCGGGGAGGAAGGGAGUAAAGUUAAUACCUUUGCUCAUUGACGUUACCCGCAGAAGAAGCACCGGCUAACUCCGUGCCAGCAGCCGCGGUAAUACGGAGGGUGCAAGCGUUAAUCGGAAUUACUGGGCGUAAAGCGCACGCAGGCGGUUUGUUAAGUCAGAUGUGAAAUCCCCGGGCUCAACCUGGGAACUGCAUCUGAUACUGGCAAGCUUGAGUCUCGUAGAGGGGGUAGAAUUCCAGGUGUAGCGGUGAAAUGCGUAGAGAUCUGGAGGAAUACCGGUGGCGAAGGCGGCCCCCUGGACGAAGACUGACGCUCAGGUGCGAAAGCGUGGGGAGCAAACAGGAUUAGAUACCCUGGUAGUCCACGCCGUAAACGAUGUCGACUUGGAGGUUGUGCCCUUGAGGCGUGGCUUCCGGAGCUAACGCGUUAAGUCGACCGCCUGGGGAGUACGGCCGCAAGGUUAAAACUCAAAUGAAUUGACGGGGGCCCGCACAAGCGGUGGAGCAUGUGGUUUAAUUCGAUGCAACGCGAAGAACCUUACCUGGUCUUGACAUCCACGGAAGUUUUCAGAGAUGAGAAUGUGCCUUCGGGAACCGUGAGACAGGUGCUGCAUGGCUGUCGUCAGCUCGUGUUGUGAAAUGUUGGGUUAAGUCCCGCAACGAGCGCAACCCUUAUCCUUUGUUGCCAGCGGUCCGGCCGGGAACUCAAAGGAGACUGCCAGUGAUAAACUGGAGGAAGGUGGGGAUGACGUCAAGUCAUCAUGGCCCUUACGACCAGGGCUACACACGUGCUACAAUGGCGCAUACAAAGAGAAGCGACCUCGCGAGAGCAAGCGGACCUCAUAAAGUGCGUCGUAGUCCGGAUUGGAGUCUGCAACUCGACUCCAUGAAGUCGGAAUCGCUAGUAAUCGUGGAUCAGAAUGCCACGGUGAAUACGUUCCCGGGCCUUGUACACACCGCCCGUCACACCAUGGGAGUGGGUUGCAAAAGAAGUAGGUAGCUUAACCUUCGGGAGGGCGCUUACCACUUUGUGAUUCAUGACUGGGGUGAAGUCGUAACAAGGUAACCGUAGGGGAACCUGCGGUUG
rnacentral:rRNA from 1 species